CUUCUUUGCUAAAAUGAGAGGAGAGAGAGGGAGAGUUCAGAACUCUCUCAACUGGAGAGAGCAAGGCCAUGGUAGCCGGAGUCUCCAACGGCGGGGCCAACUGCGAUGCACGGCGUCUCACGGCGGCCGGAGCUACACAAACAACCCCAAUUGAAACCUCUAAACCCCCUAAACUUCUAUAUACAAACCCCUUUUCCAAAAAAACCACACAGAAAGUCCUAGAUCUAGGAUGAGACCAUUCGAAAAAUUAAGAUCUAGUGACACACUUUCGCCUCCGACGAACUUAUACUCAAUUUCGGUGGAUUAAUGAUGGAGUAGGGUAUGGGAAAUGGCACAUCAUAGGGGACAAAAAUUGGUAUAUACACUUCUGCUGUGGGUGGGUUGAGUGCACCGUACAAAAAAGCUUCUCAUGUACAUGAAAGGCCUUUGGUGAAUUGGCUCUGGGCUGCGGGUUGUCACCCGUUUGGACCGUUCUCAAAUACAUCACAAAUCAGCCGAAUGCUUCAGGAUGUUGCAUUGAUUCGAUGACAAAUCCUUUUGAAGAGUGGGGGAAUGAUACAUGCACCAGAGUCCAUAAUACAUGCUUCUUUGGACUAAUGUUU